rnacentral:tRNA from 2 species
GUCGGGGUAGCUCAAUGGCUAGAGCGCUGCUCUCAUAAGGCAGAGAUGUGGGUUCAAUCCCCACCCCCGACA